rnacentral:misc_RNA from 1 species
GAUGAAGAACGUAGCGAAAUGCGAUAAGUAAUGUGAAUUGCAGAAUUCAGUGAAUCAUCGAAUCUUUGAACGCACAUUGCGCCCGCCAGUAUUCUGGCGGGCAUGCCUGUUCGAGCGUCAUUUCAACCCUCAGGGCCCUUUUGGACCUGGCGUUGGGGCUCGGCCGCUACCCUGCGGCCGUCCCCGAAAGAUAGUGGCGGUCUCGCUGUAGCCUCCUCUGCGUAGUAGUUACAUCUCGCACUGGAACGCGGCGCGGCCAUGCCGUUAAACACCCCACUUCUCAAGGUUGACCUCGGAUCAGAUAGGAAUACCCGCUGAACUUAAGCAUAUCAAUAAGCGGAGGA